AUUGAACGCUGGCGGCAGGCCUAACACAUGCAAGUCGAGCGGAUGAAGGGAGCUUGCUCCUGGAUUCAGCGGCGGACGGGUGAGUAAUGCCUAGGAAUCUGCCUGGUAGUGGGGGAUAACGUCCGGAAACGGGCGCUAAUACCGCAUACGUCCUGAGGGAGAAAGUGGGGGAUCUUCGGACCUCACGCUAUCAGAUGAGCCUAGGUCGGAUUAGCUAGUUGGUGGGGUAAAGGCCUACCAAGGCGCCGAUCCGUAACUGGUCUGAGAGGAUGAUCAGUCACACUGGAACUGAGACACGGUCCAGACUCCUACGGGAGGCAGCAGUGGGGAAUAUUGGACAAUGGGCGAAAGCCUGAUCCAGCCAUGCCGCGUGUGUGAAGAAGGUCUUCGGAUUGUAAAGCACUUUAAGUUGGGAGGAAGGGCAGUAAGUUAAUACCUUGCUGUUUUGACGUUACCAACAGAAUAAGCACCGGCUAACUUCGUG
rnacentral:rRNA from 1 species